GACGAACGCUGGCGGCGUGCUUAACACAUGCAAGUCGAACGAAGUGGCGAACGGGUGAGUAACGCGUAAUCAACCUGCCCUUCAGCGGGGGACAACAGUUGGAAACGACUGCUAAUACCGCAUACUGAAGGAGGGGCUUGCGUUUGAUUAGUUAGUUGGAGGGGUAACGGCCCACCAUGGCGAUGAUCAUUAGCCGGUCGGAGAGGAGGAACGGCCACAUGGGGAUGGAGACACGGCCCAGACUACUACGGGAGGCAGCAGUGGGGAAUCGUCCGCAAUGGACGAAAGCCUGACGGAGCAACGCCGCGUGAGUGAUGACGGCCUUCGGGUUGUAAAGCUCUGUUAAUCGGGACGCGGUACCGGAAUAGAAAGCCACGGCUAACUACGUGCCAGCAGCCGCGGUAAUUC
rnacentral:rRNA from 1 species